ACGAGGCCCAUGCAGUGGCAACACUGCGGAAGGCCUAGUGGCGAACGGGUGAGUAACACGUGAGGAACUUGCCCCGGAGACCGGGAUAACUCUCCGAAAGGAGGGCUAAUACCGGAUGUCCUCACCGAAUCGCAUGGUUUGGUGAGGAAAUGGAUUCCGCUCCGGGAGAGCCUCGCGGCCUAUCAGCUAGUUGGUGGGGUAACGGCCCACCAAGGCAUCGACGGGUAGCUGGUCUGAGAGGACGAUCAGCCACACUGGGACUGAGACACGGCCCAGACUCCUACGGGAGGCAGCAGUGGGGAAUCUUGCGCAAUGGGCGAAAGCCUGACGCAGCAACGCCGCGUGCGGGAUGACGGCCUUCGGGUUGUAAACCGCUUUCAGUGGGGACGAACCAAGACGGUACCCACAGAAGAAGCCCCGGCCAACUACGUGCCAGCAGCCGCGGUAACACGUAGGGGGCAAGCGUUGUCCGGAUUUAUUGGGCGUAAAGAGCUCGUAGGUGGUUCGAUAAGUCGGGUGUGAAACCUCCAGGCUCAACCUGGAGACGCCACCCGAUACUGUCGUGACUAGAGUCCAGUAGGGGAGCAUGGAAUUCCUGGUGUAGCGGUGAAAUGCGCAGAUAUCAGGAGGAACACCAGUGGCGAAGGCGGUGCUCUGGGCUGGAACUG
rnacentral:rRNA from 1 species